rnacentral:rRNA from 1 species
GGUUAAGCGACUAAGCGUACACGGUGGAUGCCCUGGCAGUCAGAGGCGAUGAAGGGCGUGCUAAUCUGCGAUAAGCGCCGGUAAGGUGAUAUGAACCGUUAUAACCGGCGAUACCCGAAUGGGGAAACCCAGUGUGAUUCGUCACACUAUCAUUAACUGAAUCCAUAGGUUAAUGAGGCGAACCGGGGGAACUGAAACAUCUAAGUACCCCGAGGAAAAGAAAUCAACCGAGAUUCCCCCAGUAGCGGCGAGCGAACGGGGAGGAGCCCAGAGCCUGAAUCAGCAUGUGUGUUAGUGGAAGCGUCUGGAAAGGCGCGCGAUACAGGGUGACAGCCCCGUACACAAAAGCGCAUGUGUUGUGAGCUCGAUGAGUAGGGCGGGACACGUGGUAUCCUGUCUGAAUAUGGGGGGACCAUCCUCCAAGGCUAAAUACUCCUGACUGACCGAUAGUGAACCAGUACCGUGAGGGAAAGGCGAAAAGAACCCCGGCGAGGGGAGUGAAAAAGAACCUGAAACCGUGUACGUACAAGCAGUGGGAGCACAGGUUUACCUGUGUGACUGCGUACCUUUUGUAUAAUGGGUCAGCGACUUAU